AUUGAAGUGAGUUUGAGAAGAGUCAGCAGAGUUGCUAGUGACAGCGCUACUGAGUGCUGUUACCCUUUGGAGGAGGUUUUCACGGUGAGAAGCUGCGUUGGGUGUGGUCUCCAAUUAACGUGGAUAUCCUGGUCUGGGAAAAUAGCUGCACAUACUAUUUGGAAACCCAAGUAGACGUGAAGUUUUUGGCUGCUGUCUGAUGAGGAUGAGCUCCUAAAUGACAGGAUCCACAUCCUGCUUGAUUUCUGCCCCAACCAGGACUCCACAAAGACAGCACGCAGGUGCAAGGAAACAGACAGGAAAACAGUAAGCUCAUCACUGCGGACACAGAGGCUGAUUAUACUCCGCCGUAUCAUGGUUUCACUCAAACAGUAGAUAAGCCCAUUGCCAAGCAAUCCUGAAAAACAGAUUGUGGGUGACUCAUGAUUAUAACCCUCAUUACUGACCUUUAGAAACCAGCACGGCAACAUCAAUCCAUGACAGCUUUCAGCAACAUUUAAAAACCACUUGCCUAUCCAUCUCCACACAGGCUCAUUACAAGUUGUCCCAAACAAACUAAUUAUGCUGUUAUCCAGUAUAGCAAACUGCAAAUUUGUUGAUCAUUUCAAUGCAAAUUUGGCCUGAAAAUGUUCUCUAAAGGUUACUGCUUGAAUGGGAUGUUAUAUCAGAUACCUAUAAAGCCGUAACACCAGCAAGUGUUGUGGAAAUUAAGAAGAUUAGAGAAAGCUUGAUACAGCAUACUUUGGUUGUUGCAGCAGCAAUACACAUUGUAUGAUGAUCGAGCCAGUCACUAAAAGAAAAAGUGUUGUUGUACAUUUCUGCAAACCAUGGAUAGACUACAUUUAUACUAUUUAUAUCACAUCAGGGUAACCCUCUUUGGUCAGAGAAUUGAAUUUUGUUACAAGUCGUUGGUUCAAAGUGCCUGUUGUGAGGACCAAGCGAUAUUAUAAUAUCUUGAUGCCAUCUACAUGUUAAACUGUAGUUAGUGUUUAACUGUUACCUGCAGAUUUCUAAUCUGCACAUAUUGUUCACAUUGUUUCCUUGUAUUUUUGUCGCAAGCGCUGUUGAA